CCUACGGGAGGCAGCAGUGGGGAAUAUUGCACAAUGGGGGAAACCCUGAUGCAGCGCCGCCGCGUGAGUGAAGAAGUAUUUCGGUAUGUAAAGCCCUAUCAGCAGGGAAGAAAUAGCGACCUUUGGGUCGCCAGACGGUACCGGAUUAAGAAGCCCCGGCUAACUACGUGCCAGCAGCCGCGGUAAUACGGAGGGGGAAAGCGUUAGCCGGAUUUACUGGGUGGAAAGGGUGCGUAGACGGCAGCGCAAGUCUGAAGUGAAAUGCCGGGGCUUAACCCCGGAACUGUUUUGGAAACUGUGCAGCUAGAGUGCAGGAGAGGUAAGUGGAAUUCCUAGUGUAGCGGUGAAAUGCGUAGAUAUUAGGAGGAACACCAGUGGCGAAGGCGGCUUACUGGACUGUAACUGACGUUGAGGCUCGAAAGCGUGGGGAGCAAACAGGAUUAGAUACCCCAGUAGUC
rnacentral:rRNA from 1 species